UAGGCAGAGAUGGUUUAACUGCCCAAGG
rnacentral:piRNA from 1 species